GACAAGGACUGCUUCGGAGCCGCGGAUAAGGGAGCAGGCAGAAGACCCCGGCGCUGCCUAACCCCUGCAGGGCCACCCGAGCCCUGCGGCGCCCACUCGGGCUGCCAUCCCCUCCCCUACCCGGCUGCGCUGGCGGGAAGACGCUCAGACGCCUGCUUCGGUCUUCUUUCCGUCUCUUGGUCCCUCUUUCCUCCCAAGUAAGGGAAUAAGCUCCGAGGAAGGAGCGCUCCGGGGAACCGCGCAACCAAGUGUUGCCUGGUGAGAGGAAAAACAAGGAUUUCUGAAUUUACCUUGACUAAGAUAGGAUGCUCCCUGAGGAAUAACAGAGGACUUCGCUCAUCUGUUGAAAAGUGUCCACCACUGCCAUAGACACUUGGGUCCGCGACACAUCUCUUGAAGGGCUUGUCCAUCACCUUCCUGCAAUGAGCCAGACCCUGGGCUGGGCCACGGCUUCACACUCGUGAACAAAACUCCAUCCCUGGCCUUAAGUAUUCAGCCUAAAGAUGAGUGAAGAACGCUGGGUCUCCCUCACUCCAGAAGAAUUUGACCAACUCCAGAAAUAUUUAGAAUAUUCUUCCAAGAAGAUAAAGGAUGUCUUGGCUGAAUUUAAUAAGAGUGGAAGCCUCAAACAAUAUGACUCACAUGAGACAAUUAGCUAUGAUGUCUUCAAGUUGUUCAUGAAGGCAUACCUGGAGGUGGACCUUCCCCAGCCACUGAGCACGCACCUCUUCCUGGCCUUCAGCCAGAAGCCCCGACAGGAGACCCCUGAGCACCCAAAGGAGGGGACCAGCAACAGCGAGGCCAGUGCCCCAGAUUCUGAUAUACAGAAUGCAGAUAAUGCUGCCAAAGCAGAUGAGGCCUGUGCCCCCGAUACAGUAUCAAAGAUCACCAAGAAGCAAGUGCCAGCUAAAGACCAAGCAGCUGCAACUGCCCUGGGAAACGCCGUUGCUCAGUCUUCAGGCUCAGGCAGCCCCACAGUGUACCUGAAGGACGUCGUGUGUUACCUGUCCCUGCUGGAGACAGGGAGACCUCAAGAUAAGCUGGAGUUCAUGUUUCGUCUCUAUGAUUCGGAUGAGAACGGUCUUCUGGAUCAAAUGGAGAUGGACCGUAUUGUCAACCAAAUGCUGCACAUUGCCCAGUAUCUUGAGUGGGAUCCCACGGAGCUAAGGCCUAUACUGAAGGAGAUGUUGCAAGGGAUGGACUACGACCGGGACGGCUUUGUGUCUCUACAGGAAUGGGUCCAUGGAGGGAUGACCACCAUCCCACUGCUGGUCCUCCUGGGCAUGGAUGACUCUGGCUCCAAGGGGGAUGGCAGGCACGCCUGGACCAUGAAGCAUUUCAAGAAACCAACCUAUUGCAACUUCUGCCACGUCAUGCUGAUGGGUGUUCGAAAGCAAGGCCUGUGCUGCACAUACUGUAAAUAUACUGUCCAUGAACGCUGUGUAUCCAAAAACAUUCCUGGGUGUGUCAAAACGUACUCAAAAACCAAAAGGGGCAGCGAGUUUCACCGCAAAUGUGAGUUAUCCACACUGUGCGAUGGUGGGGAACUCAAAGACCACAUCCUGCUGCCCACCUCGAUAUGCCCCAUCACCCGGGACAGGCAAGGUGGGAAGUCGGAUGGCAGUGUGUCAGCUAAGGAUGAACUUGUGAUGCAGUAUAAGAUCAUCCCCACCCCGGGUACCCACCCCCUGUUGGUCUUGGUGAACCCCAAGAGUGGAGGGAGACAAGGAGAAAGAAUUCUUCGGAAAUUCCACUAUCUGCUCAACCCCAAACAAGUUUUCAACCUGGACAGUGGGGGGCCUACUCCAGGACUGAACUUUUUCCGGGAUACUCCAGACUUCCGUGUCUUGGCCUGCGGAGGAGAUGGGACAGUUGGCUGGAUUUUGGAUUGCAUUGAUAAGGCCAACUUUGCAAAGCAUCCACCAGUGGCUGUCCUGCCUCUUGGAACAGGAAAUGACCUGGCCAGAUGUCUCCGCUGGGGAGGAGGUUACGAAGGAGGAAGCCUGACAAAAAUCCUAAAGGACAUCGAGCAGAGCCCCUUGGUGAUGCUGGACCGCUGGCACCUGGAAGUCAUCCCCAGAGAAGAGGUGGAGAAUGGGGACCAGGUCCCGUAUGACAUCAUGAACAACUACUUCUCCAUUGGCGUGGAUGCUUCCAUCGCACACCGGUUCCACGUGAUGAGAGAGAAACACCCUGAGAAAUUCAACAGCAGGAUGAAGAACAAGCUGUGGUACUUUGAAUUUGGCACUUCAGAGACCUUUGCAGCCACCUGCAAGAAACUCCACGACCACAUAGAGUUGGAGUGUGACGGGGUUGGAGUGGACCUGAGCAACAUCUUCCUUGAAGGCAUUGCCAUUCUCAACAUUCCCAGCAUGUACGGUGGCACCAAUCUCUGGGGAGAAACCAAAAAGAACCGGGCUGUGAUCCGGGAAAGCAGAAAGGUUGUCACUGACCCUAAGGAACUGAAAUUCUGCGUCCAAGACCUCAGUGACCAGCUUCUCGAAGUGGUGGGGCUGGAGGGAGCCAUGGAAAUGGGGCAGAUCUACACCGGCCUGAAGAGUGCGGGCAGGAGGCUGGCCCAGUGUUCCUCUGUCACCGUCCGGACGAACAAGCUGCUGCCAAUGCAAGUGGAUGGAGAGCCCUGGAUGCAGCCGCCUUGCACAAUUAAAAUUACUCACAAGAACCAAGCACCCAUGAUGAUGGGACCUCCCCAGAAGAGCAGCUUCUUUUCACUGAGGAGGAAGAGCCGUUCAAAAGACUAAAGGGUGUGCCAAUUGCCAGUUAAACCAAGAGAGAAAACAAGAAACUGUAACACACAUACACACACACACACACACACACACACACACACACACACUCCUUUCUAACCAGUGGAAAUGAAGCCGCCCUUUAGGAGGAAAUCUUCACCCUGCCAUACAUUCUAUUUCAAUGAGGGACACACCCCAACGGAACCAGUGACAACAAACAAAACAUUUCAAAUGGACAGAGGGCCCACUAGAGGAUGGCUGGCUCUUGCAGCAACCUCCCCAUUCCCAGAAGGCCUUGAGUGAGACUUUCUGAGAUUGAAGAAGGAACCCCCCUUUCUUCCCACCAGCCUGCAAGUUUCCUCACGGACACUCGCAAGGAGCGGGCUGCAGAUUUCCUGCCCGUGGUGAGAUCGGAUGUGGCCAAGGGAAUGAGUUCCUGUUCCAGACAACUUACACAAAGAUCCCUCUGUAAAGAGACAAACUGCCUUCGACUCUCAGAGCAUAACCCUUGGCAGAGCUCAGCCAGUGCACGUUGGUUUGUUGGUUGUCCUUCGAGCGGCAGCUUCUCCCCGAACCUGCUGAGGAGGCAGAAAGGCUGUGGAAAGCUGUGUUUCCAUUCUUGGUUCUCUGCGCUGUCAGUGGGCACUUGUUAUUUUCCUGAAGCCUUCUCCUGGUGGCUGUGUUUGUUUAGAGCCGGCUCCAAGAGCCCCCAGAGCUGCCUGCACAGGACACCUCAGAUGUGGUAUUUAUUUUCUUAGUUCUGUGAACACCUGGGAGGGAAAGCAGAGAAACGGGGAUUUAUUUUUCAAAUUGGUGUCAUAAUAUUGUGUAAAAAAGGGAAGAAAAAAACCACCCCCAUCUCCUUUCUUUUUCAAGCCAAAGCGUGUUUCCUGUUUGAGUUCCAAGCCCUGGUGGCAGUGUAUUCCUGAAGGCAGGGAAGUCGGGAGGGAAGGGCCGUUUGCUGAGGAGACCAGUAGACAAACCAUCGGGAGGUUCCCUCCUGCCUCUCUGCACCUAGCUCUCCCACAGUAUGAUCUGAAGCCCCUUCUGAUGGUCUUAUGUGUGUACAUAUAUGUAGCAUAUAUAUUUAUAGAUAUAAAUAUUUAUUUACUGAUGGACUUUCCCUGACUGAAAAAAAAUAUGUAGUAUAAGAACAGAAAAUGGGAAAGAUAAAGAAGGUUUUUACUUCUCCAUUCCACCAUUUCCAUGUCAAGACACACUGCCCCGUGGUGACUGUGAGAUUUAAGGGAAAUGAAAGUAGCUUCAUGUCAUAGAGAGACUGAGAGUUUCAAUUCUGGAUCCUCAAAACAACUAUGACAUAGAUACUGGGCAGGAUUUAUUCUCCCAUUUGUCAGAUAAGGAAACUGAGUCUCAGAAGAGUUAAGAAACUUGUCCAUGCUAUCUUGGCUAAUGUCGUUUAGGAAUAGGUGCCACUUAAGAAGAUAAUUAAUAAAGAAAAUAACCCACAUAUCCUGGAGUAGGGUCAUUUCUGGUUGCUGAGUAAUGACUCCACUUGGAUCCAGGUUGCCAGGGGAAAAUGAAUGUGCAGCACGUAUGUGGAUGGGACAAGCCCACAUGAGAAACUGAGGCCUCAUGAUGCUCCCCAGACAUUCUCUCUGGCCUGAACUGGUGAGAAGUUGGUCUGGGGUUGAAGGCACUGGACAGAUCACCAGACUCUCCACUUAUCACCUCAUCUUGGUCAUCAGAGUCUCUCAGUAUGGCAACAACCCUGGCUGCAGGAAUAACCUCAGUGGAGAGUCACAGGAGGACUGAGGUGCCUUCUGCAAGGUGCUUCCAGCCAGUACGCAGAGGGGCCACGGCAGAGCUCAGGUGGCUUCAUUCAGCUGGUGCUGGCAUUGCCCUCCUUUCCCAAGGGCAGUGCCUGUGGAGCUUCUUAGGUAGAAGAAACAUUUGCCUCAGCACCUUUGCUCCCUCAGGCCUCCAUCCUCUCUGAGAUUUCUCAAGAGGAAACCUGGGCCCACUGGACAUUGCUCCGCUGAGCUUCUUCUAACCUCCUUGCACUGGGUCAGGAGCUUUGCAUAAGGAAGGGAAAAUUAAGAUUGUGUGUACAAAUUGAUUCUGACUCUGAAGAAAGCAGUCUUCUAGGACCAUGUAGGACAGAACUGAGGACCAUCCUGCUCAACCUAACAGUGCAGAGUGCUGGGCAAGGAGAAAACUGGCCACCCAAAGAAUCUCCUGAGUGAUGGGAUCCAUGGUGGUGGGACCAACGAGCUCCAGAAUGACAACAGAAAACUGGUACCAAUUGGUUACCAGAAAAUGGCAUGAUCUUCAAGAAAAGAAAAAAUUUCCUGGUGAAUAUUUCCUCUCUCCCCAGCAUUCUUGAGAUAGCAAGAGGCAGGAGACUGAACUGAAAAGAAGAGGAUCCUACAGCAAGUUGCUGACCCAGCUAACAGCACAGCUUCCCUCUUCCACAGAAUGGGAAGAAGAACAUUUUGUGCCUCUCUGUAUCAUUGUCCUCAAUGCUUGAAAACAAGUAAGACCCUACUAUCUUGGAAAAGUCUGACAAAUGUCCCCUAGAGGCUGCUGAGGAAGGGAGCCAUUCCACCUCCCGUUAUGGUAUGAGGAAUGAAGGAACUCUGCCCGGGAAACAAGAGCAUCAUGGGGAGAAAGCUACAGUCCUGUCUCAGCCACAUGACCUUGGACAUGUCCCUUUGCCUUGUGAGAUCUCUUUCUUGAUCUACCAAAGAGGCUCUAAAGACCUUCCCUCUGCAGUGAUAUUGCCUUCACCUGGGGUAAAUGCCACAGCCAUUGGAGAGACUGCAGGGUCCUCAUUCUCAUGAGUUUGCCCACCCUGCUGACCCAGGAGGGCUACUGCCAGCCCUUCUGUUGAGAAUCGAUCUUCUCUCUUGAGGACUGAUCGUGCUCAGAAAUCAACUGAUUUGGAGGGGCCAACAUGAAAAAAAAUUAAAAAGCUACAAGGAAACUUUUUGAUAAGCCCACCAACGAUACACACACUUGCACGCACACAUAUACAGAUGCACACACUCAAUCCCUGAAGUGUAAGCGUUUUCCCUUCUGUGUAUCAAAUCUAUUUUACCCUUUGUAACUGCCAGUGUGUUAGGAGGGAAUUCAAUCCAUUAAUGGAAAAACACUGCGUCUUUUUAAGGAACUCAGCUAAACCUCAGUGUUUGAGGGUGACCCUGGAUACAAGUCAAAGCUACAGGUCAUACCACACCUCAACUGUGGCCCAUAAAUGUAGGCUCUAGCAGCUGACACUGAGGCAGUAACUAGUUAGCAUAGUGCCGGGGUCCAGAUCCUUCCCUCACUGCUUGUCCACCUCCACUGCCUCCCCCACCCAUAGAUAUGUUGUUCUGUAAUGGUGGUUGCCUGCUCCAGCCUGCCCAUCCGCCUGCAUAGAGCGCCAUGGACUUGCUCUGUAAUGCAUUGUGUAUAUGUAU